rnacentral:rRNA from 1 species
GGUUGCGAUCAUACCAGCACUAAUGCACCGGAUCCCAUCAGAACUACGCAGAUAAGCGUGCUUGGGCGAGAGUAGUACUAGGAUGGGUGACCCCCUGGGAAGUCCUCGUGUUGCAACCC